AACGGCUCUCUCGGGAGCUUUC
rnacentral:snRNA from 1 species